rnacentral:lncRNA from 13 species
AGUAGGGCUGUGUUCUUUUUGGAAGCUCCAGGGGAGAACCCAUUUUCUUUCCUUUUCCAGCUUCUACAAGCUGCCUGCAUGCCUUGGCUCAUGGCCCCUUCCACCUUCAAAGCCAACAGCAUGGUGUGUGACUCUGACCCUCCUGCCUCCCUCUCACAGGACCCUUGUGAUUAAUUUAGAGCCACCUGGAUAAUCUCCCCAUCUCAAGAUUCUCAAUCCAAUCACAUCGCGAAGUCUCUUUUGCCAUGAAAGGUCACAUAUUUAUAGGUUUCAGUGAUGAGGACAUGGAUGUCAUCGUGGAAUGAGUGUUCUUCUGCCAGCUCCACAAAGAAUUGUGCAUUCUUUCACUCUAGCACAGCUUUGGCCUUGGGGUUUCAGGCUGUAACUAGGGAUUCUGCAUUUGCCCAAAUAUUUAUUGAGCACCUACUACACGCCAGGACCUGUGCUAAGUGUUAGGACUAGGGCAGUGAACAAAACAGACUACUCCCAGGGCACUCUCUUUGAAGAAGACACAGGUAUUCACAUUUGUCCCAUCAUGCCCACCCUGCCAGUCUUACCUGUGGGCAUUGGAAUUCACCAUUCCCAUGUACCCGUCCCCACUUCCUGCCCUAUAGAUGGAACACUAUAGACUGCUCCAUAUCCCAUCAAUCUUUGGACCACUUUCUUCUGACCGCUGGGUUCCCGGGGUGGCUUCUGCAGGCACGUAGAGAUGGGACAGGACCUCUCUCAGUGCCUCUGGUUCUCACUCACCUAGGCUAAGAAAAGGGAGGUUGAGGCCACUUUGAAAGUCAAGCGGAAAGUUGUACUGCACUUAAAGGGUUUGCAUCACGACAUAUCUCAGCGUGGGGAAAGCCGGCACAGCCUAGCCCUGGACUUGGCCCAUUCCUACCAGCUGAGCUUCCCCCAGGCCCUGAGCUUGGAUGGGGGCAUCAUCUUUAGACAGAGUCCUCCAGGAACGUUCAAUUUUGGCGUGGAUACUCGAGCUGCCAUCAACCACGUCACAUCCCAGGUCUCGGUCCAGCUGAACAGAUCGCACUCCAACUUUGCGUUUUUCUUCCAACUCAGACAUCCCCACAGACCAGCAUUUCCUCCAAACUUCCAGGUAUGGAUGUUGCUCCCUCGGGGAUGACCUUGACUUGCCUGCCAAGGGUUGUCUGUGAGAAGCCGGCCUGCUGGGCGGUGGAUGGAAGGAAGGCAGGUUAGGGGCCCGAGGGAGGGAGGCCGCACUUGCAGCGUCGUUCUUAGCCAAACGGC